AUCAUGAACUACGAAGGCCAGUUAAUAUGUAAGGACACCAAUGAACAGACACUUUCCAAUUAUCGUACAUCAUAUACAUGGGUGGUCAAACUCACUGGAUGGUUUAUCAACACUCCCAUGCUCAUGAACAGCCUUGCCCCAGGAAUUUUGCCCUGAAGUAACAUUGCAGUCUAUUGUCUCCUUUCUUUUUACAACCCUGGCAGCCAUGCAGGAUAGAAGCUGAUCACUUGUACUUGACAGCAGAUAAUAAUAUCUUGGACAAGUCAAAGAAUUUCCUCCAGUCUUACAGAGAAAUGACAGUUGAUAAAAGAAUGGUGGACACAAAGUAAAAGUGCUCUUCAACAUUUUGUUGAAGAUUUCAGUCUGAUUUGGAAUUCAUCUUGCAAUAUUUCUGGAUUUGUAUAUUUGGAUAUAAACGUCACAUUUUCAACUUAUUGACUAAACAGUUUUGCGUUAAAUAUUGCCAAUGCUAUCUAUUAUUAUUAUUUCCCUCUAAGAUAACAUGUCAAGUCUUUUUUGUACCCCUUAAGCUAUGUUAUACCAGAAAAAUCUUGUAAUAAAAUCAUUUAGUUUAUUUUUUCUU